ACUCAAAUGAAUUGACGGGGGCCCGCACAAGCGGUGGAGCAUGUGGUUUAAUUCGACGCAACGCGAAGAACCUUACCGGGGCUUGACAUCCUACGACACUCUAGGAGACUAGAUUUUCUAGCAAUAGAACGUAGAGACAGGUGCUGCAUGGCUGUCGUCAGCUCGUGCCGUGAGGUGUUGGGUUAAGUCCCGCAACGAGCGCAACCCUUGUCGCGUGUUGGUAGGCAACUAUCUCUCACGCGAGACCGCCGGUGACAAGCCGGAGGAAGGUGGGGAUGACGUCAAGUCAGCAUGGCCCUUACGUCCCGGGCUACACACGUGCUACAAUGGGAAGGACAGCGAGUCGCUAACCCGCGAGGGUAUGCCAAUCUCUCAAACCUUUCCUCAGUUCGGAUUGAAGGCUGCAACUCGCCUUCAUGAAGUCGGAAUCGCUAGUAAACGCAGAUCAGCUACGCUGCGUUGAAUACGUUCCCGGGCCUUGUACACACCGCCCGU
rnacentral:rRNA from 1 species